GGGAUGUUAGUUUAAUGGUUAGAAUGCCUGGCUGUGACCCAGGAGACGCCGGUUCAACUCCGGCCCAUCCCCCCA
rnacentral:tRNA from 1 species